UACGGGGGGGGCAAGCGUUGUUCGGAAUUACUGGGCGUAAAGGGCUCGUAGGCGGCCAACUAAGUCAGACGUGAAAUCCCUCGGCUUAACCGGGGAACUGCAUCUGAUACUGGAUGGCUUGAGUUCGGGAGAGGGAUGCGGAAUUCCAGGUGUAGCGGUGAAAUGCGUAGAGAUCAUGAGGAAGACCAGUGGCGAAGGCGGGUCUCUGGACAGUUCCUGACACUGAGACACGAAGGCCAGGGGAGCAAACGGG
rnacentral:rRNA from 1 species